rnacentral:rRNA from 1 species
GACGAACGCUGGCGGCGUGCCUAACACAUGCAAGUCGAACGGUAAGGCUCUGCUUUUGUGGGGUGCUCGAGUGGCGAACGGGUGAGUAACACGUGUGUAACAUGCCCUUGAUUUUGGGAUAACUUCAGGAAACUGGGGCUAAUACCGGACAGGAGCUCCUGCAGCACGGUGGGGGUUGGAAAGUUUCGGCGGUUGGGGAUGGACUCGUGGCUCAUCAGCUUGUUGGUGGGGUAGUGGCUUACCAAGGCAUUGACGGGUAGCCGGCCUGAGAGGGUGACCGGCCACAUUGGGACUGAGGAGCGGGCCAGACUCCUGCGGGGGGCAGCAGUGGGGAUUAGUGCACGAUGGGCGGAAGCCGGAUACAGCAACGCCGCGUGCGGGAUGACGGCCUUCGGGUUGUAAACCGCUUUCGCCUGUGACGAAGCGUGAGUGACGGUAAUGGAUAAAGAAGCACCGGCUAACUACGUG